rnacentral:rRNA from 1 species
UGGGGAUAUUGCACAAUGGGCGCAAGCCUGAUGCAGCCAUGCCGCGUGUAUGAAGAAGGUCUUCGGGUUGUAAAGUACUUUCAGCGGGGAGGAAGGGAGUAAAGUUAAUACCUUUACCCAUUGACGUUACCCGCAGAAGAAGCACCGGCUAACUCCGUGCCAGCAGCCGCGGUAAUACGGAGGGUGCAAGCGUUAAUCGGAAUUACUGGGCGUAAAGCGCACGCAGGCGGUUUGUUAAGUCAGAUGUGAAAUCCCCGGGCUCAACCUGGGAACUGCAGCUGAUACUGGCAAGCUUGAGUCUCGUAGAGGGGGAUAGAAUUCCAGGUGUAGCGGUGAAAUGCGUAGAGGUCAGGAGGAAUAACGGUGGCGAAGGCGGCCCCCUGGACGAAGACUGACGCUCAGGUGCGAAAGCGUGGGGAGCAAACAGG